CCAUGUGUCACAACUGGAGGGUUUGCGAGAAGAAAUCAACCUGCUGGAGGGUAGAAAAGCAGAUCUGGGCCAGAGAAUCCAUGCUCUCACAGAUGAAAGAGAAAACUUGAAUCUUUCUUUAGAAGAAUCUGGUGAUAGAAUAA